GGGCGUAAAGAGCUCGUAGGCGGUUUGUCGCGUCUGCUGUGAAAACCCGAGGCUCAACCUCGGGCCUGCAGUGGGUACGGGCAGACUAGAGUGCGGUAGGGGAGAUUGGAAUUCCUGGUGUAGCGGUGGAAUGCGCAGAUAUCAGGAGGAACACCAAUGGCGAAGGCAGAUCUCUGGGCCGUAACUGACGCUGAGGAGCGAAAGCGUGGGGAGCGAACAGGAUUAGAUACCCUGGUAGUCCACGCCGUAAACGUUGGGAACUAGAUGUAGGGACCAUUCCACGGUUUCUGUGUCGCAGCUAACGCAUUAAGUUCCCCGCCUGGGGAGUACGGUCGCAAGACUAAAACUCAAAGGAAUUGACGGGGGCCCGCACAAGCGGCGGAGCAUGCGGAUUAAUUCGAUGCAACGCGAAGAACCUUACCAAGGCUUGACAUAUAGAGGAAACGUCUGGAAACAGUCGCCCCGCAAGGUCUCUAUACAGGUGGUGCAUGGUUGUCGUCAGCUCGUGUCGUGAGAUGUUGGGUUAAGUCCCGCAACGAGCGCAACCCUCGUUCUAUGUUGCCAGCACGUGAUGGUGGGGACUCAUAGGAGACUGCCGGGGUCAACUCGGAGGAAGGUAAU
rnacentral:rRNA from 1 species